AUGAAGUUGCGUGCAAAGGAGCUGAUGGACGGGAUCCCAGGUGAGAUUCGCUUCCAUCAGAAGGGGAGAGUGGCGGCCGAAAAAGGCAACAGCGACAAUCAGGAGGUACUGCCAUAUAUUAGGAGAUCUUCUCCAAAGGAAGUGCUCCCGUCCAGAGUAGGAUUUGUGGAUUUGAGUAUUAAUGUUUUGGAAAGAAAUGCUGCUGAUCAGAUUCCUAGAGAGAUUUUCUCGUUGAGAAUUAUAGAAAAGGAAGAGGGAAAUCAGGGGAGGGCUUUUAUCUGCACAUUUAGGGGGAAGAGAGAAAUUAGGGGGAUUUUAAGUAGGAAACUGCUCUUUCAAGACCCAUUAUUUUUCUUUAAAUGCACGAAUUUCGUCCCGUUUGUGGCGAGGAGACACUAUUAUAACACCGAGGGGGAUUGCUCGAGGUCCGCAGUUCAUCAUACAGGAAAAAAGCCUCUGUCUUCCUAUCGGGUUUUCUUGUCUAGACCUGCUAGUUUGGUGAAAAGGGGAGAGAUGGAGAGGAAAGGGGAGACGGAGGAGGUAGGAAAGAGCUCCGGAAGUGUGCCUGCCAUUAUGGAGAAGAAUCUUCCUGCUCCGGCCUCCUCGCCUGAGGGCGUGGGGAAGACAUCGCCGAGGCGGCCAUGUGGAGAUGGCUCCCCUCUGAUCAUCGACAUGGAGGCCGCGCGGAGAGCGGUCAGAGGAUGCUUGGUGGUAGGGCGAUUCCUCUCGCCUUUCCAAGUUAAUCCUCGGAUCCUCGUCGACGACCUUCGUUCAUCGUCGGCCUGGAGGUUGCAAGGCGGGGUCACUGUUCAGGAGGUGGCCAGCGCCGACGGGAGGUUCAUCCUCAACUUCUCCAACGACGUAGACAGACGUUUCGUGUUGAAGGCCCAGCCAUGGCACCACAACCGCGAUGGGAUCAUCUUCGCCGAGUUCGACGGCAAGGGCGACCCAGCGGGGGUGGACCUUGGAUCCAUGGCUAUAUGGACCCAGGUUCGUGACCUACCAUUUGAGCUUAAAACUGAGGAUGUGGGUCGGUCUCUGGGGGGCAACUCGGUGAAGUGA
rnacentral:rRNA from 1 species